UUCAGACAGUCCAGUCUGACCAGUAGUAACUGGGCAUGCCAAGUGCUGGGAAAGGUGUGGCAGGGCCCUGGGACCCACUGGAUUGCUCUGUGCGGGCAGUGAGUAGCUUGUGUGCAAGGCUUGGGACUGUGCAAGAAGGAGAUUCUGCCAGAUUUCAUCACGUCUGUUUUCAGAGAUAUGCAGCUUUUCCCACUAGAGUGAAUUUUCUCUCCCAUUAAGGUGGAUUUUCUCUCCCCUUAGACUGGAUUUUCUUUGAAAAAGUGAAAGGAUCCAUCCUUGUAUAAGAGCCCAUCUGUCCUCCUCUCUCUUAUCCAAAAUAUGAACACAAACACAGCGUUCCAGUAAGAUUGAUUUUCAGGCCUUGCUUUAAACUGGCAAAAUAUUAUUUCCCUCGCUCAUUCUUGAAUAUUUUUGGACAGCUGUGCUAGCUAUUUUCUAGAAAUACAAUUUGUGCCAAACAUAUCUUAAAGAGAAUUAAAGCCUGAACUGAUCGUCUUUGCCAAAACUUUAAGCCACUGGAAAUAAGUUCUUAAAACUGGAAGUCCUGGACAUCCUCAGGGAUCYUGGUGCAGCCAGACCAGCUUUAUGUCUCCUUUCCUGCUUUGAGCAUCCUCAUCCUUGCACCCGCYUUUCCCUGGGGCACAGGGUGCUCCAUGUGCCCUGUUCUCACUGCAGCAGGGUUUUUUCCUUCCCUGCUCCUCCCCAACUCACCCCCACACCAUUAUUCUCUCUCUGGGAUUGAGCUGGGCUUAGCUAAGCCAGGCUCUGCUGGGACUUGGCCUCUCACUGAUCUCCUUGCACACGAUUUGCUGCCAUGUGGUACCUGCUCCCUUCCCCAGCUGCCAGCCCAGCUGUGGGAYGUGCUGUUGGAAUAUUUACUGUGCUCUGAAGGACGUGAUUUUGUGAUGUUUUACAGUGCUUCAUUUGGUAGAAGUAGUGACCUGAGCAGUCCCUACAUUUCAGCCAGUCCAUCUCUAGCUACCUCACCCACUGCCAUUGGCUCAUCUACCUCCCUGGGCACCCCGUGGCAACCUGUCUCUUGCUGUCCCACAUCUCUGGGUGUGAACACUCCUGCUUCAGCCUGCCACAGCACCAGAGCCCCUUUCAGGCCACAAACUGAUUCUGCUGUAGAGAAAAACGCAGAGGGCAGCUGUGGCAGCACCCCUCUAGGUGUAAUCACAAACCGUGCUGUGCUGGGCUCUGCCAACGGCACCGGGAAUGCYGGGGCUGCCUCCGCCCCAGGGAAGGACCUCUCGGCUGAGGAGGCCAGGGAGCGCAGAAGGUCAGUGAGGAGUGGGCUCUGCUGGCCCCUGCGUGGGCAGCUGCCUCGUGGUGGUGAUGGUGGGGGUGUAACAACUGGUUUUUAGGUGCUCUGUGAAGUUCCCAGGCUGCUGUCUCUACUCUGAUGGUUUUGAGCUGAAUCGUCGCUGGCUCGUAGGUUAAAUUUAGUUUUGUGAUUUUCUACUUGUCUCUUCAGCAUCUCAGCCUUUCUCUUCAGUACUAAUCUCAGCUCCUAAGCUCAGCCUGAUCCCAGUGUGUUUGCAGGGACACUCAGCAGAGCAGCCACUCACAGUGGGUUCUGAAAAAUUAAUCCCAUCCUAAAGAGACCAUUGUACUUAGAUACAUUAGAUAAAAUCUGUCCCUCUGAUUCAGCUCAGUUGUGUUUACCUAUGCCCUGAUGGAGACAUCUGUGCUGCACAGGUCCCCCAGAUUCCCUUUGCAGUUAUUGGGAGAAAACAAACAUUCCUGGKGCCUGUAGGUGUGUGACACAGUAGCAGAUGGACUCCAGCAGCAGGUGUGGCUUUGAUUGACUUUCCAGGCCAGAGGUGGACACUGCCAUGGGCAGCUGAGGCCAUUCCAGCAGCAGCAGCARUGGGAAUGACUCUGAGCUGGUGGUAUCUCUUUCUUAUCACAUGGUGUUAUUUUAAGACUGGGGAAAUACAAACCUGGGCAGACAGAGCUCUUUUCAAGGGAAUUUUACUCCGUGCACUAAUUACAGAAUAUUAAAUGAUCCAUAUAUUCUUCCUGCAAACAGGUUACCUUUUACAGAAUCUGUCUCUUCUAAUGGCAUCAGUGAAAGCAAAUAGUAAUAAAUAAAAUACAGCGAUGAACUGGGUGUUUCUAACCAGCAGUGAGUAUCUAGUGCUUGGAUUCUUCCAAACUGUCACAGUGAUUUAUUGAAAUGCAGCCCUUCCUGAGUGCAGAUAAUGCUCUGACACAUCUUAAGUGGCCUGAGG
ensembl:lncRNA